GUUAGUGGCGGACGGGUGAGUAACGCGUGAGAAUCUGCCCUCAGGAGGGGGAUAACAGUUGGAAACGACUGCUAAUACCCCAUAUGCCGAGAGGUGAAACGAAUUUUGCCUGGGGAUGAGCUCGCGUCUGAUUAGCUUGUUGGUGGGGUAAAAGCCUACCAAGGCUUCGAUCAGUAGCUGGUCUGAGAGGACGAUCAGCCACACUGGGACUGAGAUACGGCCCAGACUCCUACGGGAGGCAGCAGUGGGGAAUUUUCCGCAAUGGGCGCAAGCCUGACGGAGCAACGCCGCGUGAGGGAUGAAGGCCUUUGGGCUGUAAACCUCUUUUCUCAAGGAAGAAGAUCUGACGGUACUUGAGGAAUAAGCCACGGCUAAUUCCGUGCCAGCAGCCGCGGUAAUACGGGAGUGGCAAGCGUUAUCCGGAAUUAUUGGGCGUAAAGCGUCCGCAGGCGGCCGUUUAAGUCUGUUGUUAAAUCGUGGAGCUCAACUCCAUCACGGCAAUGGAAACUGUUCGGCUUGAGUAUGGUAGGGGCAGAGGGAAUUUCCGGUGUAGCGGUGAAAUGCGUAGAUAUCGGGAAGAACACCAGUGGCAAAAAGCGCUCUGCUGGGCCAUUACUGACGCUCAUGGACGAAAGCCAGGGGAGCGAAAGGGAUUAGAUACCCCU
rnacentral:rRNA from 1 species